rnacentral:rRNA from 1 species
GAUGAACGCUGGCGGCGUGCCUAAUACAUGCAAGUUGAGCGAUGAAGAUUGGUGCUUGCACCAAUUUGAAGAGCAGCGAACGGGUGAGUAACGCGUGGGGAAUCUGCCUUUGAGCGGGGGACAACAUUUGGAAACGAAUGCUAAUACCGCAUAACAACUUUAAACAUAAGUUUUAAGUUUGAAAGAUGCAAUUGCAUCACUCAAAGAUGAUCCCGCGUUGUAUUAGCUAGUUGGUGAGGUAAAGGCUCACCAAGGCGAUGAUACAUAGCCGACCUGAGAGGGUGAUCGGCCACAUUGGGACUGAGACACGGCCCAAACUCCUACGGGAGGCAGCAGUAGGGAAUCGUCGGCAAUGGACGGAAGUCUGACCGAGCAACGCCGCGGGAGGGAAGAAGGUUUUCGGAUCGGAAAACUCUGUUGGUAGAGAAGAACGUUGGUGAGAGUGGAAAGCUCAUCAAGUGACGGUAACUACCCAGAAAGGGACGGCUAACUACGUG